rfam:Neurospora crassa OR74A linkage group VII, whole genome shotgun sequence.
UCUUCCGUAGUAUAGUGGUCAGUAUGUGAGCUUGUCAAGCUUGAACAUGAUAUCAGUUCGAUUUCGCUCGAGACCCGGGUUCAAUUCCCGGCGGGAGAG